rnacentral:rRNA from 1 species
AUUGAACGCUGGCGGCAGGCCUAACACAUGCAAGUCGAACGAGUGGCGGACGGGUGAGUAAUGUCUGGGAAACUGCCUGAUGGAGGGGGAUAACUACUGGAAACGGUAGCUAAUACCGCAUACCAUCGGAUGUGCCCAGAUGGGAUUAGCUAGUAGGUGGGGUAAAGGCUCACCUAGGCGACGAUCCCUAGCUGGUCUGAGAGGAUGACGUGCCAAGCUGGAACUGAGACACGGACCAGAAGCCUACGAGAGGCGGCAGUGGGGAAGAUGGCACAGUGGGCGCUGGCCUGAAGAAUCGAUGGCGCGUGUAGGAGGAAGGCAAUAAGGUUGUAAAGUACUUUCAGCGGGGAGGGGUUACCCGCAGAAGAUGCACCGGCUAACGCCGUGCCAGCAGCCGCGGUAAUUC